rnacentral:rRNA from 1 species
ACAACUUUUUCUUAUUUUUUUGUUUAUUUUUUGUGAAAUGUUGAUAUUUCUUGUUUUUUUGUUGUUACUGAUAAAUAUUUUUUGUUGAGUUGGAUUAGUACCCAUGUAAAUAAUUUUUAUUAAUGCGGGAGUAAAUUAGUUUUUAAACCGUAAAAAUAUUGACUGAUUUUUAAUUUUUCUUUGGAAGAUGUGAAUUUUGGGAGAGCCCUCCUUGCUUGUGUGAAUUAUCGGCGCAUGUAUGAUUGUUUAAUUUUUAUAAUUUUUGUUAUGUUUAAAAAUUUUUCUUUAUAAAAAUAGAUAUAUACUUGGUUUAUGUUUUAUUUUUCAUUUGUUACUAUAAUUUAUAUUUCGGAUUAGAAAUUGGGAUUUUUAUGAAGUUGGAAAAGAUAGUAAAAGUGAUUU